GACAGAGGCCCCGAGCGUUAAUCGGAAUCACUGGGCUUAAAGGGUGCGUAGGCCGGCCCGCAAGUGCUUUGUGAAAUCCCCCGGCUCAACCGGGGAACAGCGGGGCAUACUGCGGGUCUUGAGGAAGGUAGGGGUUGCCGGAACUGUAGGUGGAGCGGUGAAAUGCGUAGAGAUCGGGAGGAACAUCAGUGGCGAAGGCGGCCUUCUGGACCAGUACUGACGCUGAGGCACGAAAGCGUGGGGAGCAAACAGG
rnacentral:rRNA from 1 species